rnacentral:tRNA from 1 species
GCCUCAAGAGGCUGAUCAAGCAUUGGUCUUGUAAAUCAAAGGCAAGAAGUUCAAUCUUCUCUAAGGCA